CCUACGGGUGGCAGCAGUAGGGAAUCUUCCACAAUGGGCGAAAGCCUGAUGGAGCAACGCCGCGUGCGUGAAGAAGGUCUUCGGAGCGUAAAACCCUGUUGUUAGAGAAGAAAGUGCGUGAAAGUAACUGUUCACGUUUCGACGGUAUCUAACCAGAAAGCCACGGCUAACUACGUGCCAGCAGCCGCGGUAAUACGUAGGUGGCAAGCGUUAUCCGGAUUUAUUGGGCGUAAAGGGAACGCAGGCGGUCUUUUAAGUCUGAUGUGAAAGCCUUCGGCUUAACCGGAGUAGGGCAGUGGAAACUGGGAGACUUGAGUGCAGAAGAGGAGAGUGGAACUCGAUGUGUAGCGGUGAAAUGCGUAGAGAUAUGGAAGAACACCAGUGGCGAAAGCGGCUUUCUGGUCUGUAACUGACGCUGAGGUUCGAAAGCGUGGGUAGCAAACAGGAUUAGAUACCCGAGUAGUC
rnacentral:rRNA from 1 species